CCUACGGGAGGCUGCAGUGGGGAAUAUUGGGCAAUGGGCGAAAGCCUGACCCAGCAACGCCGCGUGAAGGAAGAAGGCUUUCGGGUUGUAAACUUCUUUUGACAGGGAAGAGCAGAAGACGGUACCUGUCGAAUAAGACACGGCUAACUAAGUGCCAGGAGCCGUGGUAAUACGUAGGUGGCAAGCGUUGUCCGGAUUUACUGGGUGUAAAGGGCGUGUAGACGGGCUGACCGGUCAGAUGUGAAAUCCGGGGGCUCAACCCCCGAACUGCAGUUGAAACUGUUGGUCUUGAGUAUCGGAGAGGCAGGCGGAAUGCCUGGUGUAGCGGUGAAAUGCGUAGAUAUUAGGAAGAACACCAGUGGCGAAGGCAGCCUGCUGGACGACAACUGACGGUGAGGCGCGAAAGCGUGGGGAGCAAACAGGAUUAGAUACCCUUGUAGUC
rnacentral:rRNA from 1 species